rnacentral:piRNA from 1 species
CUACAAUGGUGCAUAAACUCC